AUUGCUGAACAGGUAGAAUGACCCUACCAAGAUAAGGGUGAUACCAUUAGAUGGGACCUGUCUGUUCAUAUAUUUGUUGGGAAACCCAGCUCAUUGUACCUUUGUCUUGACAAUCACCUGGAACAAGGAAGUACCACCAACUACAGUCUUCCCAUUCUAGGGUUGCAAGACAGGCCGACAAGAGUGAUUGCUUUAUUGCAUUGCACACUGCAACAACCAGGUGCUUCCGCUUUAUCUGGGACUGGACCAUAUAAGGACAAUGCCUUUCCUUCUCUCUGAUAAGAAUAAGGCAUUAUCUCUUCUAAUGUAGCCAGAAAAGGAGCAAAGCAGAAAUGUGAUACAAAUGAAAAGGAAGAGAGACUGGCACAUCCUAAUCCUCUGCUUCUCUCUUGUGGCCAAAACAGAUAAGUUCAACGUUAAUUUUGAUAAACUUCUACCACCUCAUGGUAAAAACUUAGUACUACAAUUAAAUGACAAUUCCUCUCUUACAAGUUGUAAAAUGUGAAAUGACCAGAUAUAUCAGUGGCUGAAAGAUAAGACAGAUGGACAAUCAAUUGCUUUGUAUAUGUUCUUGGAAAGGUCAAGUCUUAUUAAUGCAGCAUCCUGCGUCUGGUUUGCCAUGGGGGGGGGCACUGUUGAAGACAGUUGUGCUGGCAAUCUGAGGUUUAAUUAAAAAGCUUAUGGUAAUUGAUUGUUGUGAUUCAGCCUCUCAGCACAACACCACGGCUUAUGAAAGCAGUAUAGAAGGUGUAAAUCAUUAUGUUGCAUGAAAGGGUUACAGCAUUCUGUAAUUGUCUCUAAUUGUUUAAAGGAAAAUAAAAAUCAUUCUGCCAGACUGAACAUGUCCAGCAUAAUUAGCGAGGGAUCAGGUAUUCCCCCAACAGCAAGAUAUUAACCUGUGUCUUCCUGCCAGUUGCAGAACUAAAAGUCUACAGGGUUAUG